rnacentral:rRNA from 1 species
GUGGGGAAUAUUGGGCAAUGGGCGCAAGCCUGACCCAGCAACGCCGCGUGAGGGAAGAAGGCCUUCGGGUUGUAAACCUCUGUCCUAUGGGAAGAAAAAAAUGACGGUACCAUAGGAGGAAGCUCCGGCUAACUACGUGCCAGCAGCCGCGGUAAUACGUAGGGAGCAAGCGUUGUCCGGAAUUACUGGGCGUAAAGGGUGCGUAGGCGGUUGCUUAAGUCAGAUGUGAAAUACUCGGGCUCAACUCGGGGGCUGCAUCUGAUACUGGGUAACUAGAGUGCAGGAGAGGAAAGUGGAAUUCCUAGUGUAGCGGUGGAAUGCGUAGAUAUUAGGAGGAACACCAGUGGCGAAGGCGACUUUCUGGACUGUAACUGACGCUGAGGCACGAAAGUAUGGGUAGCAAACAGGA